AAGGAGCAACGUCGAGUCUGAUGAAGGGAGAAGACUUGGAAGGUAGAAUAUCGGUGCUGGAAUAGAGAAGCCCCUAAGCCAAGCUUUCUCGUUUUACAGGAUUUUUUCUCUCUCAUCUUCUGAUUUUCCCACCAGGAAUAGGGAAGGUAUGUUCAGUUUCUUCUAGACUACUACCCCACACUCCAUUUGCAUGUUUCCUGUGCCAGGUUAGCCAGGGAAUAUUUCGUUUUGAAAAAGUGACAAAGCCACAAACCUUGCAGCAAAGACUUUAUUGUAUUCUUUCAACCCCACUCCCUCCAACCUCACCUUAGACACUAGCCUCAAUGAAAAAAAAAUCUAGCUAUAUCAUUACUUUCCCUUUAAUGCCUGAAAGGUAUCCAAAUCCCAGAGUAUAGAGAUACAACUGAUGCUGUUUUUUAAAAAUUGGAUAAAGCUUUAUUUUCCUCAAAUAAAUGACAGCUUUGAA
rnacentral:lncRNA from 1 species